GGGGAUUUGGCUCAAUGGUAGAGCACUUGCCUAGCAAGCACAAGGUCCUGGGUUCGGUCCCCAGCUCCG
rnacentral:tRNA from 1 species